rnacentral:tRNA from 1 species
CAUUGGAUGGCUGAAAGUAAGUAUUGGUCUCUUAAACCAAUUAAUAGUAAAUUAACGAUAUACUUCCAAUG